GCCCACCUGGGAGGGUGAUCGGCCUCCUGGGCCUGAGAGAGGGCCCAGAGGGGACCUUAGGCUGAACGGGCGGGAAUCUGAUGCAAUGGAGCAACGUGUGACCGAAAAGCGCCCCGUGAGUGAAGAACGUUUUCCGAUCAGGAGCUCUGUUGUUAGAGAACAACAAGGACGUUAGUAACUGAACGUCCCCUGACCGUAUCUAACCAGAAAGCCACGGCUAACUACGUGCCAGGGGCCGCGGUAAUACGUAAGUGGCAAGCGUUGCUUCCGGAUUUAUUGGGCGUGUGCGAGCGCAGGCGAGUUUCUUAAGUCUGAUGUGAAAGCCUCCCGGCUCAAACGGGGAGGUGUCAUUGGAUACUGGGAGACUUGAGUGCAUAGAUGACAGUGGCUAAUUCCAUGUGUAUCUGGUGAAAUGCGUAGAUAUAUGGAGGAACACCAGUGGCAAACGCGAGCUCUCUGGUCCUGUAACUGACGCUGAAGCUCGAAAGCGUGUGGAGCAAACACGACUACAUACCACUGGUACUCCACGCCGUAUACGAUCAGUGCUAAGUGUUUUCAAGGUUUCGGCCCUUCAUUGCUGCAGCCAAACGCAGUACAGCACUCCGCCUGGGGAUUACGACCAGCUCGUGUUGAAACUCGCACGGAUUUGACCGCGCCCGCUGCAGCCCGUGGACCAUGCUGAUAUAACUUCGGCAGGCAACUCGAAGAACCUUACCAGUG
rnacentral:rRNA from 1 species